GUACGGGGGGGGCAAGCGUUGUUCGGAAUUACUGGGCGUAAAGGGCUCGUAGGCGGCCAACUAAGUCGGAUGUGAAAUCCCCAGGCUCAACCUGGGAACUGCAUCCGAUACUGGAUGGCUUGAAUCCGGGGAGAGGGAUGCAGAAUUCCAGGUGUAGCGGUGAAAUGCGUAGAUAUCUGGAGGAAUACCGGUGGCGAAGGCGGCAUCCUGGACCGGCAUUGACGCUGAGGAGCGAAAGCCAGGGGAGCAAACGGG
rnacentral:rRNA from 1 species